AGAGAGAGACAUGCGCGCAUAUCAAUAACGGAGGAAAAGAAACUAACAAGGAUUCCCUUAGUAACGGCGAGUGAAGCGGGAAGAGCUCAAAUUUGAAAUCUUCAAGGUUCUACCUUGACGAAUUGUAGUUUAUAGAAGUGUUUUCUGUUAGUGGAGUGGCAAAAGUUCUUUGGAAUAGGACAUCAUAGAGGGUGAGAAUCCCGUAUUUGGUCAUUCCUCCUAGCGUUGUGAUACACUUUCAACGAGUCGGAUUGUUUGGGAAUGCAGUCCAAAAUGGGUGGUAAAUUUCAUCUAAAGCUAAAUAUUGGCGAGAGACCGAUAGCGAACAAGUACCGUGAGGGAAAGAUGAAAAGAACUUUGAAAAGAGAGUUAAACAGUACGUGAAAUUGUCAAAAGGGAAGCGUUUGACACCAGUGUUGUUUUUCCGAAAAUCAAUUACGAAUGUUUUAUUUUUGAGGAGUUAUGACUUCAUCGGCUUGCUCCUUUCUUUAUGAAACUUUCUUAAUGCACUUUUCGGUUAACAAGUCAACAUCAAUUUCUUUUGUUGUAAAAGGGUAUGAGGAAGGUGGCUUUCUUUUCGGAGAAAGUGUUUAUAGCCUUGUGCCUCUGCAAUCGGAGAGAUUGAGGUCUGCAGCGUAGAUCCUUCGGGGUUAGAUACAUUUGUGCUAAGUUAUAGCUUUUCAUAGACAACUUGUUGACUAUGUUUAGUCUUGUAGCUUACUCGCUGACGCUAUUUUACCUACGCUUAGGAUGUUGAUAGUCACAGCGUGUAC
rnacentral:rRNA from 1 species